AAGCUCAAGAAUGGGGCAUUGCGCUGUGCCUUCUUACCACUGCCCUGCUUCUUUGAGUCUCCAGCUGGAAGAGUGGAGACUUUUUCUACAUUGGGACUUGGGCUCGUGAGAUCAUCUAAAAUAGCUGUGCUGGGAUGGUGAUUACUGGAAUAAGGAACAGGUGGGUGAUUAAAAACAAGCUGCAGCUGGGAAGGAGCCAAGGAUCUCAGGGAAACUGAGGAAAAUAAGUGGAGAAAUGAUGCAAGGCCAGCACAGAGAUCAGAAGAAAACCCCUUCCAUACCAUCUCAUCAGCGCUGCCUGCAAAGUGAUGCAAGUGUUAAGGAAUGA